GGCAAGCGUUGUCCGGAAUUAUUNNNGGGCGUAAAGGGCUCGCAGGCGGUUUCUUAAGUCUGAUGUGAAAGCCCCCGGCUCAACCGGGGAGGGUCAUUGGAAACUGGGGAACUUGAGUGCAGAAGAGGAGAGUGGAAUUCCACGUGUAGCGGUGAAAUGCGUAGAGAUGUGGAGGAACACCAGUGGCGAAGGCGACUCUCUGGUCUGUAACUGACGCUGAGGAGCGAAAGCGUGGGGAGCGAACAGGAUUAGAUACCCUGGUAGUCCACGCCGUAAACGAUGAGUGCUAAGUGUUAGGGGGUUUCCGCCCCUUAGUGCUGCAGCUAACGCAUUAAGCACUCCGCCUGGGGAGUACGGUCGCAAGACUGAAACUCAAAGGAAUUGACGGGGGCCCGCACAAGCGGUGGAGCAUGUGGUUUAAUUCGAAGCNAACGCGAAGAACCUUACCAGGUCUUGACAUCCUCUGACAAUCCUAGAGAUAGGACGUCCCCUUCNNGGGGGCAGAGUGACAGGUGGUGCAUGGUUGUCGUCAGCUCGUGUCGUGAGANUGUUGGGUUAAGUCCCGCAACGAGCGCAACCCUUGAUCUUAGUUGCCAGCAUUCAGUUGGGCACUCUAAGGUGACUGCCGGUGACAAACCGGAGGAAGGUGGGGAUGACGUCAAAUCAUCAUGCCCCUUAUGACCUGGGCUACACACGUGCUACAAUGGACAG
rnacentral:rRNA from 1 species